rnacentral:rRNA from 1 species
GAUGAACGCUGGCGGCGUGCCUAAUACAUGCAAGUCGAGCGAACGGACGAGAAGCUUGCUUCUCUGAUGUUAGCGGCGGACGGGUGAGUAACACGUGGAUAACCUACCUAUAAGACUGGGAUAACUUCGGGAAACCGUAGCUAAUACCGGAUAAUAUUUUGAACCGCAUGGUUCAAAAGUGAAAGACGGUCUUGCUGUCACUUAUAGAUGGAUCCGCGCUGCAUUAGCUAGUUGGUAAGGUAACGGCUUACCAAGGCAACGAUGCAUAGCCGACCUGAGAGGGUGACCGGCCCCCCUCGAACUGGGCCUCGGCCCGGACCCCUGCGGCAGGCAGCGGCAGUGAAUCUUCCGCAGUGCGCGCAGACUUGCCGCAGCACCGCCGCAUGAGUCUUUAGGGUCCCCCGAUCGUAACACUCUCUUAUUAGUCCAGACCCUAUGUGUACGUGCCUGUGCCCAUCUUGCCGGUCCCUAGUCAGAAAGCCACGGCUACCUACGUG